CCCCCCAAUCAAGUACCUAAUUUUCUGAUGCUUGGAAUGCUUUGGAGAGGUGUCUUGUUAUAGAGCCGCCCUCCAGAAAUUAAUAGGCAGUAUGGUUUGCACCUGAACCAGACGUAAUAAUAAUAAAACCGUUUGUUUGGGUAUAAUUGUGCUUGUCUUAACCCACCCAUUUUUUUUUCUUU
rnacentral:misc_RNA from 1 species